GGCCAGGUAGCUCAGUCGGUAGAGCAGGGGACUGAAAAUCCCCGUGUCGGCGGUUCAAUUCCGUCCCUGGCCA
rnacentral:tRNA from 1 species